UGUGUUAUUUAUCGUUUUUCUCUCUUUUCUCUGUUUUGCAGAAAAUGGUGAAGACGCUGAAGAAGACGAGCUGUGACGUUCUUUCAACUUCCCUGAGGUUGGCACCUCCUCAGGGAAGACGCCUGCCUGUGUUUCACAGGCAGUGCGCAAACCAGCUGGUACACGCAGACUGUGUACUCGUACUCGGAGAACAAAGGUUCCAGCGUGUUCCUUGUUCUCACUGGGAGGGUACUGGGGCCAGCGUGCCCUUCAGCUGGAUUAAUCUUGAGAAAAGAUGCACAGAUAACAUGAGAAAACAUGAGAUUAAACAGAGAGAAUAUGAACAGAAACUAAACAGGAAAUAUGACUUGAAACUGAGAGCAUAUGAGUAUAAUCACAGAGCAUACGAGUUUAACCUGAGAAGCCACAUCGAUGAUACUGAGCCUAGAUGCAGUGACUAUCUUGUGCAGAGAAGAAGGGUGAGUGAACUGAAGAUGCGGAGAAUCAACAAAAUGACAAAGCAGAGAGUAAGUAAUCAGAAAGCAUUGAGAAGCUUGAAGGUAAGCAGACAAACAUGCUGUAGCAGAAGUCAGGUAUUGGAAAGUUAUGUAGAGUACUGUCAAGAGGCAAAGAAGGUUUCUAAACCAAAUAGAAAGAAAAUGAGAAGAAGCCAACGUAGACAGGCCUACCACAGAAUGAGGAAUGGUAAGAUGAUCGAAUUGCGCAUGAGUAAGGAGGACAGAAGAAACCAGAAGAAUGCCCAGAAGAAUUUACAAAGUCACACUAGAAGAAGUUUGAGUAAUGUCUUGAACAACAUGCCAGAUAAGGGAGACAAAUGCAUAGUGCAGAAACACAGCAGAUAUCAGUGUAAACCAUGGAGAUCACAAAAGAAGAGUAAAUUUGCAAAGAGAUCGAAUGUAAAUGAAAUUCAAGACAAGCAGUGCUGGUUGUGCGAUAAGAGUAUUAAUUCAUCUGAAAACAACGUGCAGUGUGAUGGCUGUGACAUUUGGUAUCAUGUGCAUUGUAUGAAUUUCUCAAAGAUGAAACAGCUGUUGAGCAACAAAGCUGUGACAUGGUUGUGCAGAAAAUGUGGGAGGAGUACUUAUUCUGAGUCUCUGUUAUGUAAUCUUGGUAUUCCAACAGAUGAUAACAUGUAUGAGUUGACAGUUCAGGAGACAUGCACCGAUGAUGUGGUCAGAGAGAGGUCCGUGAAUGGAAUGUGCAGGAAGGACAGCAACAAAGACAAUCAGAGAAAAAAUAAACCAGCAAGGUUGCCAAGUCAGUGAAGGAACAAGUCUGUUGAAACGUGUUGCUACUUGGCAAGAUGUACACAGAAUUUGUGCAUGUGUGACGUGGACGUCAUUGAAGAGAAGACUACCCCUUUGUUGGAAACUGACUAUUCAAACUAUUUGCACAGUUUAUAUUUUUCAAGCCCACCUAUAGCAUUACUAUGAUGUGAAGGACAGCUAAUCACCUCUCAACCAAGCCCGAGUUCUGUCAGCCACCUCUUGCAUCACUGUGAUGUCACAGGCUACUAAUCACAGUCUGUCAUCCAAGCCCAAGUACUGUACGUGAGUCAUCUCUUGUACCACUAUGUCUAAGGCUACUAAUCACCUGUCAACCAUGCCUGAGUUCUGUCAGCCACCUCUUGCAUCACUGUGAUGUCACAGGCUACUUAUCACAGUCUGUCAUCCAAGCCCAAGUACUGUACGUGAGUCAUCUCUUGUACCACCAUGUCCGAGGCUACUAAUCAUCUGUCCACCAUGCCCGAGUUCUGUCAGCCACCUCUUGCAUCACUGUAUUUAUUUAACGCCUGCUUAUCACCGUUCAUCCCAUCAUGAAUAUUGUGAGCCAUCUCUUGCAUCACCCGCCAUUAAAGGCAGAGUUCUAUGAGUUACCUUGUGCAUCACUAUGAUGUCAAAGGCUGUUAUUACCCCCUAUCCAAGUCCAACUGCUGUGAGUCACUUUGUUCAUCACCGUGAUGUCAAAGGCUACUUAUCACCUGUCAUGCAAGCCAGACUGCUGUAUGUCACCUGGGAAAUGACAAAGCCUCAAAUGUUUCUGAUAUCUCAAACAAGUGUUAGUUCUGUGAUCUCAAGACUAUAUGUGUGAGCCUUUGUCCUGUCGUCAAACUCUUGUAUAAACAUGUGAUGAUAAAGGCUUUUAUCAUUUGUCUAACAGGCCUAAUUUCUGUCUGCCAGCUCUUGUAUCAGCGUGAUGUUAAACAUGUUAAAGGCUAUUAGUUUGUAAUCCAGUUUGGAGUACGCCCUUACAUUUAGUCCAAAUUAUGUAUGUGUUGAAAAUCAUUUCACACUUGUAGAGUUUAAGACUGUGAGGCUUAAUGUUCACAGUAUCCGUGGAAUCUGUCGGUUACACUGCAAAGUGACAUAUUUGUGCUGUGUUCAUUCAUCAUCAUACAGAUACUGUUGGAUGAAAGCUUCUAGGUUAAUACAAAUUGAAAGUCUCUUUGAAUAAGGACGUUAAUUUGUAAACUAAGCAGUACAUUUCCUUUGAGGGAAGCAUUCGGGAAAAGAAGCAGCUUAUACCUUGUAUUCAUGUUUUCUAAAUGCAACUGAGUUUAAUCAAAACUUUUCAUAAAAAAAGGUAUAAGUUAAUGUUAUUUAAUUGAUAACAGUUGUAAUGUUGUACACCUUAAAGUACAUUGUACAAACAAAUAUAGAUCAAAGUGUCAUGUUACAAUCCAUUUUGCUUCCUUCACUGUCAGAAAUUUGUGUACAUCCAACAUUGGAAUAUUGUUUUAUUUGUUAAUGUAUAUCUAUUUAGUAUAUACAUUUCGUUUGUAUUUUUUCUGUGAAAGCGAAGGGGAAAUAAAUAUUAAUCAAUUGAAGUGA
rnacentral:misc_RNA from 1 species